rnacentral:rRNA from 1 species
UGAAUACGAGAUGCUACGGCGUCGAAGCAGUCUAUGUCAUACUUCCAAGAAAAGCUUGCACUGUCAUAAAUAAAGUAUGCCUGUACCAUAACCGACACAGGUGGGUAGGUAGAGUAUACUAAGGGGCGCGAGAUAACUCUCUCUAAGGAACUCGGCAAAAUGACUCCGUAACUUCGGGAGAAGGAGUGCCUUGCGAAGUAAGUCGUAAGACUUAGUUUUCUAAGGUUGCAAUAACAAGAUCCAAGCAACUGUUUACCAAAAACACAGGUCUCCGCUAAGUCGUAAGACGAUGUAUGGGGGCUGACGCCUGCCCAGUGCCAGAAGGUUAAAGAAGUUGGUUAGCCCGCCUUUGGCUGGCGAAGCUGAUAACUGAAGCCCUGGUGAACGGCGGCCGUAACAAUAACGGUCCUAAGGUAGCGAAAUUCCUUGUCGGGUAAGUUCCGACCCGCACGAAAGGCGUAAUUAUUUGGAUACUGUCUCGGAGAGGGACUCGGUGAAAUAGACUUGUCUGUGAAGAUGCGGACUACCUGCACCUGGACAGAAAGACCCUAUGAAGCUUUACUGUGACUUGAAAUUGAAAUUGGACUUUAUUUGCGCAGUAUAGGUGGGAGGCGUUGAGAGUAGUCUUGCGGGAUUAUUGGAGCCAUCAGUGAGAUACCACUCUUGUAAUGUUAGAUUUCUAACUUUGUAUCAUUAUCUGGUCAAAGAACAGUUUCAGGCGGGCAGUUUGACUGGGGCGGUCGCCUCCUAAAGGGUAACGGAGGCGCACAAAGGUUUCCUCUGAACGGGUAGAAAUCGUAUCUAGAGUGUAAAGGCAUAAGGAAGCUUGACUGUGAGACCUACAAGUCGAGCAGGGACGAAAGUCGGUCUUAGUGAUCUGACGGUGCUGAGUGGAAAGGCCGUCACUCAACGGAUAAAAGUUACUCUAGGAUAACAGGCUGAUCUCCCCCAAGAGUUCACAUCGACGGGGAGGUUUGGCACCUCGAUGUCGGCUCAUCGCAUCCUGGGGCGGUAGUACGUCCCAAGGGUUGGGCUGUUCGCCCAUGAAAGCGGUACGCGAGCUGGGUUCAGAACGUCGUGAGACAGUUCGGUCCAUAUCCGGUGUAGGCGUUAGAAUAUUGAGAGGAGCCUUCUCUAGUACGAGAGGACCGAGAAGGACAUACCUCUGGUGUACCAGUUAUCGUGCCAACGGUAAACGCUGGGUAGCUAUGUAUGGAGUGGAUAACCGCUGAAAGCAUCUAAGUGGGAAGCCCACCUC